CGGGCCAAUUUCCCUCUGUUUCUUCCUUCCCCCUUCCUGUAUGGCCAGCCACCGGCUCUUUCGGCUUCUCGGUACCGAGGUUAGACCACUCGAGGACCACUUUGCGAACAACCACGAUCCUCGUUUCUCUUCUCUUUCCGUCAAACGUCGAUAGGCUCUCUCAUUCAUCCAGGUCGAUAAAUUUUCAAAGGAUUCUCGCGAGAAUGCGGCCAGCAACUCGGAUAAGCCUGGCAAGACUGAAGAGGUAGGAUUAUUUGCCGAUGAAAAUCGUGGCUCUCUUUAUUUUCGCUCGACGCCUCCUGGCAUCUUCAGGUUUGUUGCCACAUCAAGAAACCCUGGUGCGCGAUUAAUCGGCCACGGCCAAGUCUCCAGUCUUCCAGACGACUCUGGAUGCUCGUUGACCAAGGACGCGGGGAUUAGAAUAGUAUUGGGAACGCGAGUUCGAUCGUCACGUGCGCAUUGACAUUGACCGAUUUUUAACACCGUGUUUCUUUUUUUCUUUUCUUCUUCGUUUAAUUUUAAGACAGAAUCUGUUUGUUUACUCGUUUAAUUUUAGAACACACGAUCCUCUUUUUCGUUUGUUUGUUUGGGAUAGAAUUAUCGUUGACUUUGAUUAAUAAAAUGGCUUUGCGCGUAUCAAAAAUUUGAAAAUCGUUAUAUUCAUGUUGCAGAUUAUUGUGAAGUGAAUGCUUCGCCUCUGUUUUAUUUCAAGAUACACCGAUAAAGUCGAUUCGCGUCUGGUGCGAUCGAACGAUGCCCGACUAUUUUUGAAUCAGUACUACUCGAUCUCUAUUCAAAACAUUACUUUUUAAACCUUCUUCGAAGUGUAAACUCUGGCCAAAGUAUCUUUGGAAUUGUUGGAAUUUUUGCUUCCACUGAAUUAUCAGUCUCUCGGAAAUCGAUAUUGCUUAGGACGUAAUACCUUUGCAAAAAUGUUUUUUACAAAAAUAUAUUACCUUGUAUAUAUACAUUCUUUCCUCUUAAGAAAAUAUAAGUACAAAUUGUUUCUAUGAUCCUCGAGAAAUAUAACAUCCAUUUCCACCGAUUUUCAGAAUCGACUUUCGAAAUGGAAUCACAAUCAUCGUUCGUCGAUCGUUUCGAGUAUUUUCUUUUUUUUUUCGAUUUCUCAAACGAUUCUUCCAAAGGCACGAUCGAUCGACAAUGGACAUCGAUCGAAUCCUCUCCUCGAUCAAACUCAUCAACCACUAUCGACCAACAUUCGCCCCUGUUUUUCCGCGAUCACGAGCAAUUUUUCCAUCUUAAACAAACCCAUUCUGCGCUCACCUGUCCCCCACACUUUUACUCUCAACUUCGAUCGACCACAUCGCGGAAACCAUCACUUCCGACAUCAUUGAAUCGUUUCUUCCGCCUCGAUCGUUUCGUCGAGGCUCGCGUUUCUUCGAAGCGCACGAAUCCACGGGAAACAACACUUUCCAACUUCGUAUUCGAGGUGAAAUAAAAGUCUCCAAAACUGUCGGCACGCCUCGCGAUAAAUCAACGCGAAAAGCCGAGGGGGCCAUUCAUCAAAAUCCCACCACGCUUUUCUCUGUUAUCUCUGUUUUCCAGUCCGCAUGAUAAUACCACGCGGGAAGAAAUUUCAGAGAGAGAGAGAGAGAGAGAGAGAAAGAGAAAGAAAGAAAUACUUCUGAUUUGAAAAUCCUCGUGAUUCACUCACACUUUUUCCACUUCUCUUUCUUGCGCGCCAAGAUCGAACUCGCCGAUCGAAGAAGAGAUAAAAAAACAACGGAGAAACUUUUAAAACGCUGUGUCGUUUUUUCCCUCUUUUUUUUACCGACAAGAGAAAAACAUCUAAACGUAAACACUGGAAGAAGAGAUAAGAAGAGACGCAAAUUAAAUCGCGUUUGCGCGGUUAAAGAAGGAAAAAAAAUCUUCUCUCGAACGAAUCGAAUGAACGCGUUUCGACUCGCGAUUCGUCGAUUGGAUCGUGAAGAAAAAAAAAAGUAGAAGAGCUACGUAAACGUAAGCGAAUAAAAGAAGCGCGCCGUUUGGCUUCGUGCCCGACACUGAAGAAACGCACACGCACCGAGGUGACCCGCUCCUGUCGAGCAUUCGUCGCCGUGUGCCGACAAGCGUGUGCUGUCAGUCCGUUCUCUAACAUUGACAGCCUAAACUGCGAAUCCUAUGAGCCGUUGGCGUCCAUGCUACCCCCGGAAGCCGGCUUUGCCCCCCCUCUCCCCGUCAUCGUGCCUAGCUGUUAGGAACGCCGGGUUGAAAAUGAUCGUUUAAAGGUGGAGAGGUUUUAAUGGAAAUUUAGAAUGUUUCGCUUAAGUGGUUUAACGUUACCAGGGUGUUGGUUGAUACGAAUGCUAGCCUCCUUUGGGAGAAAGAAGCUUUCAUAAUUUGAUGAGUAAUGCAAUAUGGAACGAUCGCGAUGACGAUGGAUGUUGCACGAAGGUAGAUUUGAUAGAUGGUGCAUGUAUUUAUUGAUAUCUUGUCCGUAGAUCGUUAAGAGAUCGUUAAAUUUUUUAUCCAAUAAAAUUUUCAAUCGUUAAAAUCCGAUAGGAACGACGAUAAAUGGUAUCGAGAGAAAUACAGUAAUAACAAUGAGGAUGAAUAAGAAAGAAAACGCGCAGCACUUUAAAAUUAAUAAAUUCAAACUUGGAAUUCUACCACCAGUUCAUAGCCACCCUUUGAAUCGUACUCGACCAAGGCUCAGGGAUCUCCAACUUUCACGGGCCAAUAUACACCCCCUUCCUUCGACUAUUCCUUAAAAAAUAUCCCUCCUACAAAUAUCCCCGAAUAAAUUAAACACAAAGGUGAACGAAAUAAACUCUCCGCUCCAUCAUCCCCCGUUUUAAUUGGCUGAUUAGGGUAACUUGGAAUCAAUCUCCAAGUUCUCUGCGAAACAACGAGCCGGUUUGAGAUCCCUGAUCCAUACUUCCAUCCAUCCCUGCAACAGCACGUGCACGUUUUUCGUCCUCGCGAGGGCUGUUCCACCCCUCGCUCUCCCUUCUCUGAAAUCCUCCCCUUUAAUCUCCGGCUUGCUUUCUUCCAUGGAAGAUCGGUUUGUGAUUUCGACAGCUGCUCCUUUCUAAUCGGGACCGCGACAAUUCCUUUCGUUACGAUUCCUUGAACUGGGUGGGGGAUGGGGGCGGUCCAUCGAAUCGAAGAAGAAUUCUCUUUGUUUUCUUUUUCGAGGGGGUUGCAUUUAGGCGCUUCUUCUUCCCGCAGGCGAAAUUUUUGGGGGAUGUAAAUUGAAUUUUCUGGAUUUAAUUAUAAAAUUUAUGAGAAUCAUCGAGAUGAUGAUAACGUAGGGGGAUGUACGUGCGAUGUUGAUAAUGUGUUUAUAUAUGUUUUUACUAGUAUUUGUUUGCGAUACAAUGCAUGCAAUAAUUACAUUAGUUGUAAAAUUUUUAUUUUUUAAUAUCCAUAUGAAAAUAUUUAAUUUUUAAUCGAUUCAUUGUAUUGUUAGAAUAAUAUGUAAAUAUAUUUCGAAAGUUAUGUGGUUGAUAACGAGUUACGUUCUAAGAUUACAGAGGAGAAAAUAAUUUUUUUCACGAGCUAGAAGUAAUUUGAAAAUUAUGUUGCAAAUGUUUCUUUCCUACUUCUGCCGUACAUGUGUUCAAAAUGGUCACCAUUUGAACAGAGUGUAUCCAAGGCUGGUAACAAUGUGCCAAGCUUAUCCCAAAAUCACAAUUUCCACGUUUUCCCUGUUCCCGAUUCCCACAUUUAAUCCCUCGUUUCUAUUCUUGAACCAUCGAACAGAUCGAUCUGUGAUCCAGCUGUCGCCAUUGUCCUUUAACGCCGCUUGUCCAUCAAAUCUCAGACUGGUAUUUGUCGUAAAAUUCUCCGUAUGUUUCAACUGUGGUAAUUGGUCAACAAUUAUGCAACGUUUCGAUAUGUAUUUCGUGAACAAAAUUUUAACAAUUUUUUCUCCUCUAUGCUUCUUUGUUUUUCUCGUGAUUUAUUUAGGUGAUUUAUUUUAAGGUAACAAGUCGAGGAAAGUUUUGUUCUUUAUUUCAGCGAUAGGGAGUUAUCGAUAGCUAUUUUAAGUAAAACUUUGAAUUCCAAAAGUCAACUAUAAAUAGAGAGAACGAGCUGGGGUGAAAGUAUAAAAAUAUUUUCCAGGAAAACAAACUGUCUGAUAAAGUGUAACAGGUUUUCAGAUAUCACAGAUCGUAAAUCUUUUUAAAACUAUCGAUGACUUAUUCAUACUUAUUCACCUCAAAAUUAUUUCACUGCACCAUUCUUGAUCAUUCCAUUUUUAUCACCUUAAAUUUUUCAACAUUGUUUUAAACAAAAAAUUAAACCUAUAAUAAAAAAAGUAAAAGAUAUUCUCUCUUCAAAUCGAAACGAAACAACCCUCUUCAACGUCCAUUUCGUCUGGGAGACAUCCGUUAUCUGGACAUCCAGACACCGAGCCACCUCGAUUGUCUUACCUCAUCCAGUAAACGUGCAAGGCCUUCUUUCUCCCAUUGUCGAAGAAGUGGCUUCCAGAAGUGUCGAGGAGCCCCUUCUGCACGCGAUUGGCCCUUUGUCCGUGGCACGUGUGCGUUCUCCUCUGUACUCGUGCAUCUGCGCCGUCCCAGGAAGUUUCUUUUCCACCGAUUGAUGUACACCGGUUGUCAUCGAUCCUCCCCUUUCAUCGUUCGUAAAUCAAGCAAGGAGGAGAUUCUAUACGCGUACGUGAACCAGGAAGCGCAAUACAGCAUCUGCCGCCACGUGAAGACGAUCGUUAGACGGAUGAGGAACGCAAUGGAGGCAGCAGCCUCGUAACGUGUGAUUUAUUAUAUUGAAAGUUGUAAGGUGAGGAAUGUUUUCGCUUGUUUUCUCAACUUGUUCAAAUGAUCGUGUAAAAGGGGAUAAUGUGGUCGGACUUUGAAUUUUCGUGAGUUAAUUUUGGAGCGGAUCGAGCGUUUAAAAAUUGUUAACAUUGUGCAAGUUUUGGUUAAUUUUUUUUUUUUAUAUGAAUGUAUGAUUUUGGGAAAAAUGAGAAUUUUUUAUCCUAGAACAUAUUUUUAAAUUUUUUUCUCUUUUAUUUUGUAAAUAUUUUUAUUUAUUUAUUUUCUUCUCUAUGUUAACAUCCUUCUCGAUUCUUAAUUUUCGUUCACAAUGAUCAUUGAGUGAUAUAUUAACGCGGUGAAUUAGACACACGGUCUCCUAGGCAAUUCCCUAGCGAAACGAAAAAAAUCGUAUCCGGUCUGACGUGCAGUCACGUGCAACCCUGCGGUCUUUUCCACCCCGAGCCACCCUUUAGAAUGGGGCAGCCCUUAGGGCACGCGCUGUUAAAAUUAUAGCGACAUGUGCGACUAGUCACGGCUCGUUUGAUACGCAAAUUCUAAGGAAAGUUUAGUAAAAUUGGAUCUUUAAUUCACAUAUUUCGUACUCUCAUAUUUUAACGCGAUAAUCGAACCGAAACAUCCUGUAAGCAUCGUCCUAAUGAAGGGUGGUCAAGCUAGAAAAAUAGCCAUUUCAUCGUGAUUAAUGAAUUUUAUCGAAUCUUCUGUUAUUAAUUCCGUUAUUAAUCGAAAAUUAAUAGUAAAAAAUUAUCAAUAAUAUUUCAUCAAUAAUAAUUGUAAUUAUUUUAAUAGAUUUGAUAAAAAUUUAGCAAAAUACUAUUUUCAUUUCUUUUUUAAAUGGAUUCUGCGGAAUUAACUUUUGAUCACUAAAUUUGUAGUCUUUUUACAAUUUUUAUAAGAAGAUUAAAUAUAAAAUAUUCUAUUAGAAAAUGUAAAACUUUAGAUUGGUCGAUGAAAGAAAAUAAAAAUUACCAUAGAUAAUUACCACAUAAAAAGGUACAAGAAGGAUUUGCAUGCAUGAUUAACUUAUUCAAAUUCGCCAUGAUUUAAUCCGAUUCGAGGAUCCCGAUUUUCAAACCGAUUUUCUUAUGUCCUCCAGAUUUCUCUAAUUUUACAAAAAUCUAUUAAGAAAGACAACGUGUGAAUAAAAAUAGAAAAUGAUUAAAUAUUGAUUUCACGAAAAAUUUACAUUAUUGAUAUCGUUUCUCGUAUUAGUACCAAAAAUCCUAUUCUUCAACAACGAUCGAUCUCGUUAAAUAUAUUCUCUAUACACUUAUUAAUUCUACAAAAUUCUACUUUUAAUAAUAUUAAAACAGAAAACAAUGAACAAACUUGCUAAAUAUAUCCUCGUUAAAUAAUAUAACGCGAUAUUCAACGCUUCCUCCAUACACCAUUCACGAUUAAUGAGGUUUCGUCUACUUCGAAACUGUACAAUCAUCCUCUACCACCCUCUAUUCCUUCUCUCUUCGCUCUAUCGAUUCUUUAUUCAACUGCAUAUAUAAUUCACUAGUUGCAAGUAAAUGGUAUAUUUUCGUAGAGCAUUUCGUGUCACAAUGUGAUCGAAUGAUUUAAACGUGUAGUUUCACAAAGACAGAAAGAUUAGACAGCAACCCCUUUGGAGAUUCUUAAUGAGAUUACAUAUCACAUGUAUCCUAUGAAACUGUAAAUAUCGUAUUGCAUAAAACAUGUUCGUGACGUUUUUUUAAUGAUGCACAUUACGAUUAUAUAAAUCGAAAAGAGAAAUCCCAUAUGGAUGAUAUUUAAUAUUAUUGUUGUUUGCAUUUUGCUGCUAAAAAUUAAAUUAAGAUUGAAAACUUGAUAAUUUUAAGUUUAAAUAACAGCGAUAUUUAAAAAGCGAUUCCAUAUUCUUUCUCAAAAAAACUUCCCUGCAACAAACAAAUUAUAAUGAAUAUUAGAUAAUUAUUAAUAAAAAACUAAUGCUUUAAAUUAUAUAAUAAUUAUUGCGUAAUUUAAACUUACAUCAUUAAUAUAUUAUAAUUUAUUUUUGAUUUUAACAAAUUUUUAUUUAUAAUUUAUUUUAGAAUCGAUACGCGAUCUUAAAUAACGCCACGUUUAUAAUUAAAUGUUAAAACAAAUAUAGACAAUGAGAAGAAAUAGUGGGAGAAGGAUAAAAAUAAAUUAAAAAUUGUAACAUAACGCCAUCUCUAGAGUGUCUCAAAUGAAACAAAUUGAGAGAACAGUAAAUAGUGGGAGAAAGAUAGAUAGUCAGAAUUGAUCAUCAACACCAUCUAUUACGUGCCAAAAACAUCUAUUUUACUCAUAAGAUAAAUUUUGUAACGAAUGACGUGCACGUUCACGUCAUCCGCCAUACGAUAGGACAUUUUUAAAUGCUCGAGAGAUGGGGCUAACAGUCAAUUCUUAUUCUAUUUCUAUCUUUCUCGCACUAUUUGUUCUCCUUUUUAUCUGUUUUAUUUGCGGCACUCUGAAGAUGGCGCUGAUUUCAAUAUUUUUACCUUGUAUCUAUCCUUCUUUCGCUAUUUCUUCUCCUUAAUUAUACUUGCUUUGCAAAAUUAUGCAUUCAAGAGACAGCUUGUACAUCUGAUUAAGUUUAUUGUCUUCUUUUCCUAACUUAUUGAUUAAAAAUCUUAAUAAGCUCUAUUCAAUAUAACAAUUAGAUACUACUUUCAUGCAUUGUAUCGAUGAUCUAAUUAUUAAUUAAUUUACAGGAAGAAAGAAAAUUGGAUAAUAUAAGAUAGAAAAAAUAUAAAUCGAUAAUUUAUAAAAUUAUAAUAUAAAGAAAAUGAAAAAUGGAGAACUCAUAAAUAUUCAUACCUCUCGUAGUGAAUGUUUUUAUUCAAUUACAAUAAUAAUCGCCAUCGUCACGGUAAUAAUGUUAUCAAGAAUAAUAAUAAUAAUAAUAACGAUAAUAAUAAUAAUAACGAUAAAAUAAUAAUAAUAAUAUUUACGAUCGCAAUUAUAUUAUAUGCAAUGAUUAUAACAUGGCGCAAAAAGAAGAAUCGACAGGCUGGCGAUGAUUAUCAAUCAUGCACGCGACAUCCAAUGACGAUAAUAAUGAUUAUAACAAUAAUGAACAAUAACAAUCGAACAAAGCGUCGGUUCAAUAUAACAAUAAUCAAACAAUACGUUCGCGCGCGUUGCACUCGGAGAAACGAUGAAUUUUCUUUGUUUCUUUACAUUUAUUCUACACGUGUCCGUGAUUGUAUCGUGUGUGUAGUAUAUACUCACGUAUAAUUAUUAUACAUUAUACAGGGUGUAAAAAAUCGAACAACAAUCCUUUAUUUCUAUCCUAUAAAAGUCAAACAAAAUUCUGAUUGUAUACGCUUUUAGAAAAGAUUCGAGGAAUAAUCUAAUCUCUAUCCACGAAUGAAAUAAAUAAGAAAAUCUAAAGAAGAAUUUUAUUUAGAUUUCUAUUUCGUCUGUUUCAUUUUCCUCGAGUGAAAGUUUAAGAAAAAAAAAAAAAAAAAAGAAAAAUUUAUUCGGACGAUUUAAAAUUAAUGUUUCAAGCAGAUUUAUAUAGCAGAAUCUUUCUUCAUUCUAGAAUAAAUGAAAGAAAGCGAACCUAGAAAUCUAAUUUUUCCUGAAACAACAGUUGCACAACGAGCAAUCCGAUAAGAUCGUUCGAACAUAUUUCUUUUACACCCUGUAUACUUCUAAUGUAUCAAUGUAUACAUGUUACUGGUGUAACAAUUUCAUCCAUACGAUCUCCUCUCUAUCUCCGUUCCACGACGAUGAGCGUAUUAAUCGAUGGUUCGUUAAUUAACGCGACGUGCUACAUCGUUUUCAUCCAUUGGAACGUCGUUUCUGUCUUCAUGUUUUUUUUGUGUGUCACAUUUCUUUGUGUAUGCUUUGUACGUGUGCGCGCGUGUCUGUAUGUAUGCGUGUGAAUUGUUCUCUCUCUCUCUCUCUCAAUCUCUCAAUCUCUCAAUCUCUCUCUCUCUCUCUCUCUCUCUCUCUUUACGUGUCGUAUACGUGUCGGCUAAAAGGUGUACGAAAUCGGCUGCAAAAAGGAUGAUCUAUGAAACGCGGUAUGAACGAGCGGUUUGCUUAUGUACAGAGUGUUCCUUUGAAACGUUACGAGUACAGUUACAUCUGAUUUACAAUUCGAUCAGCGAUUUUAUCCGCCAAGUCCGCACAGUCGGAUUCGUUUCUUCGCGACACGCCUCGAUAAUUUUCGCCUCGCGAAUCCUGCGCGCGCUGAAUCAAUCCUUGCCACGUCUUCUCAUUCCAUUCCAUUUUCUCGCACGUUUCACGACGAUUUGUUGCGAGGGUGUGUACGAAGCUUAAGCUAAAGAUCCACUCGAUUGUCGUUCGAGUCUUCUUCUUUUCGCGGUGGCACCGUGAAUGGGCGAGCCUCUGCGUCUCGAAAUUUUUUUCAUCACCAAAACAACAACGAUCAAUUUCAUUCCGACGACAAUGAGAUAUUUCCCGCGUUCGACGUUUAAGAAAGUUUAGAGAAAGUCUUUCCAAUCUUUAAUACUCUUCCAUAAUUACAACUUUAUUCAGAAUUUAUCCUUCGUAUCUGUUCUGUUCCUCGAUUUCCUCCUCGGUUUCCAAUUCAUUUUCGCUUCCACGAAAUCGAAUAUAUGAAUCAAUCAUUUAAUUCAAUCGUUUGUACUUCGACGUAAAAUUAAUUUCUUAUUCUAAGUCGAUCACUCACAGAAAACUAUUAUUAUUUCUCAAGCUUCUUGCAACUGUUCUUCCUCUAAACAAUAUCCAAGAUCCACGAUCCUCGUCCUCCUCUAAGAGAUCAAUUCCCCCAUUUUUGUCUCGUCGGAAUCGGCCGCAAGAAGGAGGAAAUCCUUCGUUUCGAACGCAGUCACGUGCUUCCUCCCCUGUUCGAAAUCCGUGUCUCACCUUUCAUCACGUGAUCGGAUCCCCAUGAUCGGUGCAGAGGAUCGAUUUCAAUGCUCGCCCGCACUCACGGUUCCAAUGGCCGAUCGAGAAAAAGCAAGUUUGCGGAUGGUGAACGUGCGAAAGCUGAACAGGUUUAACGUGGUUAUUACGAGUCCGUGUAUUUCUCGUUUCGUUUCUCUCUCUCUCUCUCUCUCUUUCUCUCGCUCGCUCUCUCUCUCUCUCUCGCUCGCUCUCGCUCUCUUUCUUUUGUUUCUGUUUGUUCGUUGAAAAAAUAAAUCGCUCUUUUCUAGAUUACGACGCUCUUUCUUCUCUGUGCAGCGCGACACGCGCAAUUUUUUGUGACAGGCCCUCAUCGGAGCCCAACGCUAUUAUUUUAAAUAAUGCAGGGUUCUCGUGGACGCGACCCAGUUUGUGUCUCGUCUAAAGUGUUCUCCUCUAAUCGAUACAUCUACGAUCUAUCGCGAUUGGUUUUGCUCGAUUUCUUUCUUGCUUCCCCUUCGAGCUCUAAUUGAUUCGAAUCGAUUGCCGACUAAUUGUUCCGUGGCUUGUUCGCCCGUUGGGGACGUUGAGUCUGAAUCUUUGGAAUUAAUUUUCUUUCUAUUUCUCUAGCGAUGGUUUAUCACUAAAUUAUAUACAAUUAUACAUGUAAUGUAAUUUUAUUCACAGAAACUAGUUCGUUAAAUCUUCUUUUUUGUAAAACAAAAAAAAAAAAGAAAGGAAGAAUAAUUGAGGGAUCGUUUGUAUCGAGUCCGAACAGUGUAAUUCUCAAGUAAUAAUUAUUAUUAAUCUUCUAGCAAAUGAUCAAAUAUUGAUAUCAGCCUCGCUGUAAUAAUUUCGUUUUUCUUCUUAAAAGAGAUAAAAAGAUCAAUUCCAAAUAUUCGAGCAACGUUACCUCUUUGUCAAACUGAACUUGUCAAACUUGGACAGAAAGAAAACAUCAAAGUGGCGAGAAGAGCACGGACUAUGGAGCGGAGACAUCAACGCUGGAUUAAGCGCGAACGUUCGAUCUGCUUUACCGGAAAUCGGUAACGAAACCGAUUUUCCCUGAGAAUAAAAUCGUCGUCGUUAAUAUUGUGAUCGAUCGUCGUCACUCGAUUUUAAUUCCAUUUUCAUUAAAUCAUGAUCUCCAAUUCGUUCUCCAUCAAAAUUAUUAUCGUCGAAUCGAAUAAAAAAAAAAAUAAUCGAUACUCGAUGGGUAGACAGAUCGAUAGAUCGUGGAAUCGAAGGGGAAUCACGAUGGUCUUCGUUGGUACGCUGCGUAUUCUGCCUUUCUCUUUCGCUGCUCUUUUUCGAGAAUUGGAAAGCGAUCAACCGAGAGCGACAGUUUCUGUUUUCCUUGAGACACGUUUACGUUCGAAACUUCCGUCUGCCAGACGAAUAAAGGGAACUUGGGAGUGGAAAAAUAGCUAGCGACUUUUGCUGUUUUCUCUUCUUGCCUCGAUGGGAUCGGAGGGAGGGAUCAGCGACCAUGAGCAAGAUAAAAUACAUCGUGCAAGAUAAGACGUAGCCGUUAAAUGUACGUGGUAAUUGCAACAGUUUGGCAGUCUUUAAACGAUAAACAUUUCCAUUUCCAUUCUUGUUUUUGAAUACAUUGCAAAUCCGAUAAAAAAAAACUUACCGAUAACGUUCUGAAUCGAAAGUAUCAAUUUAUCGGGGUGAAAUAAAAAAAAGAAAGAAAGAUAAUAUUCUUUCAAAAUUUCUUAAACUUAGACGAAUUUUAAUAAGGAAGCUUGGAGAAUUCUUUUCAAGCCGGAAUGCCGCUUAUUUUUAUCGGCGAGAAGGAAAACAAACCUCGAUAAAUCCUUUCCUUUGAGGAUCGAUACAUGGCGUAUAAUUUUCUUAAUAACGAUUUAGAAAAAAAAAAAACGAUUUUAGAAAAUUCGAGCGUGGAUCAUCGCUCGAAAAUUUAUCCAUCUCCGGAACCGAGACCGAUAGAACCAGUUUUCCCCCACUUUCCUGUUUUACAUAACUCCUCGACCAGAAAUAUAGAAUAUAACCAACGUCGAAUCGGAUCGUUAAGCAAAAUCGAGAGAUCGGAAAAAAAAUCGCUCGCCGCUGGUUCCUCGUUUCGUUUCCACAGGGAGUUGAUCAAGUUGUGAGAAGUUGAAGCGGGAUUUUCCUCGAUCGGUUGAUCGGUUCGCUUUCUUUUUCUUUAUUCAUGUUUCUUCUUCUCGUUUCUUCAAAGCGGUAAGGCAUUGUCGGAUAUGUCAGCUGAGAUCUUCGAAUCGCUCCUGUGAUUGCGUUGCAUCGAAGGCUUUUUACAAAAAUAUCAUCCCCUUUUCUUCUUUUCGCGCCCCACUUUCCAUGAUCUUCCUACUCUUUCAUCUUUAUCUUAUUCUUUUUAAUAUAAUUGUGACAGAGUCGGCCUGACUGUUUCGCUGAUUUUUUUUUAUUUUUAUUUUUUUCUAUUUCUUCUUUGUUUCUCUUUUUUUCCCCAGGGACGUCGGAUGCUGCGUUAGAAAAAUUCGCUUCGAAAACAGGAAGAAACAUUAAUACACGAGGUAUCUUUUUAGUUUUGCAUGUACGGUUAAUCGAAAAGCAGCCAGCCGUGUUUACUGUCCGUCGUUUCUUCGUUUUUUUUUUCUUUUUCUUUUAUUUAUUCUUCCUCAUUUGUCGUUCUUACAGUCGUCUCGAGACAGCGGUUAUAAUUGCACUUUUGUGCUAGAAAAUAA